UACGAAGGGGGCUAGCGUUGCUCGGAAUUACUGGGCGUAAAGCGCACGUAGGCGGAUUGCUAAGUCAGGGUGAAAUCCUGGAGCUCAACUCCAGAACUGCCUUUGAUACUGGCGACCUUGAGUCCGGGAGAGGUGAGUGGAACUGCGAGUGUAGAGGUGAAAUUCGUAGAUAUUCGCAAGAACACCAGUGGCGAAGGCGGCUCACUGGCCCGAUACUGACGCUGAGGCACGAAAGCGUGGGGAGCAAACAGGG
rnacentral:rRNA from 1 species